UUCCGCGCCAUGCGGUGGCCCAGAGCUUCCGUGACGGGAAAAAACCCUUCCUGGGAAGCAGGGCCCGAUAAGGAAAAGCUCAAGGGCCCAAGACCCAGACUCGGCAACCGGAAGCCAACAGCUGGAUUGAAACACAGAGGAGCGCUCCUACUGGGAAGAAAAGCUUCAUUUCCGCACACGGUUUGGAGGUUUCAGUUCAGGAUCUGUGGCCCUCUGGGCUGGCGUCUGUGGAGGCUGCUCGUGGUGGGUGAGGACACAGAGACGGGACCUGGGCUGAACUUGAACUCAAAAAAGCUAGCCCUCUCUCAAGACCCACCCUCCAAGGGCAUCCCCCCCCUCCCCAGACACCUGCCAGCAGACCAACCUGUCAGACGCCACCAUUAGGUCAAGUCUGCGGCCCCCAGUCCAUCGGGCACUAGCGUUCAGACGUUCAGACCUGUGGGGGUCUGGGGAGACAGAUCCAACCGUGCCCACAGCAAGCACCUACUAUGUGUGUGUCACACAAGGGAGACGCCAGGGGGUGUGCAGCCAUGGAGCCUGCAUCCGGGAGGAGAGAUGCAGACGAGAGAACCAACCAGAAAAGCACGAAAGCGCCCGGAACCCCAGCUCACAAAGCACCUGCCUGGGAGUCGCAUCGUCCGGCAGGAUCCUCAGGACUGUCCUGCCGAGCAGAGAGCAGACGCUCGUGUGCCCGCUUGGUGGUGGGCAAGUGGCAGGAGGAGCAGAUCAGCGGAAGUGGGCUGGGCAGCUCUGCUGCUGUGGACUGGACACGCACUCAAGCGCAGGUGUUGGCUGAGAAAGAUUGGCCUUGGCCGACUGGGACAACUCUCCCCUGCCCGCCUGUCUCACCUUCCACAGAGUGGCCGCCGGGGAGUCUUGGUGGUGGCAGAGAUGCAGGAGAUGAAGCGGGAACACACCUGGCCUCUGCAGACUGGGCUCCGGUGCCUCUAUCAGCCAGACAGGCUGCACCGUACCCGAGUCCAGGGAAAUAGAGCCGUCCUUCAGGGAGGAGUGGAAAAGCCACUUCAUAGAGCGGGGAAUCGGUGGGAGCAAAGACUCGGGCAUUCUAGUAAUCCAUGAUAGCAGGCUCCCGUUUAGGGGUGCUGACCAGGGAAUGGGGUGUGUGUGUGUGUGUGUGUGUAUGAGAGAGAGAGAGAGAGAAGCAAUAAUACAAUUUACAUGGGAAACAUGCAGAUUCCAGAACUCUUACAUCUCCAAGCACAUAACCCAGAAUCAGAAUUGUUUGAGCCUUUCCCAUGAUUCUGUUGAUCACAGAAUUUUGCAAGGCAUCAUUUUAAGGGAUGAGACUUGGGGCCAGUGUUGUAGCAUAGUGGCUAAAGCUGCUGCCUACGAUGCCAACAUCCCCAUAUGCCUGCCACUUUGUGUCCUGGCUGCUCCACUUCUGAUCCGAUUCCCUGCUAAUGGCCUUGGAAAGCAGCGGAAGAUGGGUCAAGUGUUUGGGCCCCUGCCAUCCACAUGGGAGGCCUGGAUGAAGCUCCUGGCUACAGCUUGGCCAAGCGCUCCCUCCCUGUUGUGGUCAUCUGGAGAGUAAGCCAGCAGAUGGAAGAUCUCUCUCUCUUCCUCUCUCUAACUCUGACUUUCAAAAUGAAUACAUAUUUUUAAAAUUCAAAUAAAAGAAGAGAUGUGGCUUAACUAUUUAAGUCA
ensembl:lncRNA